rnacentral:rRNA from 1 species
GAUGAACGCUAGCGGCAGGCCUAACACAUGCAAGUCGAGGGGUAUGGCAGCAAUGCCAGAGACCGGCGCACGGGUGCGUAACGCGGAUUCAAUCUACCUUUUACAGAGGGAUAGCCCUGAGAAAUUUGGAUUAAUACCUCAUAGUAUAUUUUAGUGGCCUCACUAGAUUAUUAAAGUUCCAACGGUCAAAGAUGAGCAUGCGUCCUAUUAGCUGGAUGGUAAGGUCACGGCUUACCAUGCCUACGAAUGGUAGGGGUCCUGAGAGGGAGAUCCCCCACACUGGUACUGAGACACGGACCAGACUCCUACGGGAGGCAGCAGUGAGGAAUAUUGGACAAUGGGCGCAAGCCUGAUCCAGCCAUGCCGCGUGCAGGAAGACGGUCAUAUGGAUUGUAAACUGCUUUUGUACGGGAAGAAACACUCCUACGUGUAGGAGCUUGACGGUACCGUAAGAAUAAGGAUCGGCUAACUCCGUGCCAGCCGCCGCUGUAACAC